rnacentral:rRNA from 1 species
AUACGUAGGGGGCUAGCGUUAUCCGGAUUUACUGGGCGCAAAGGGUGCGUAGGUGGUUUCUUAAGUCAGGAGUGAAAGGCUAUGGCUCAACCAUAGUAAGCCUUGCGAACUGUGAGUCUUGAGUGCAGGAGAGGAAAGCGGAAUUCCUAGUGUAGCGGUGAAAUGCGUAGAUAUUAGGAGGAACACCAGUGGCGAAGGCGGCUUUCUGGACUGUAACUGACACUGAGGCACGAAAGCGUGGGGAGC